rnacentral:rRNA from 1 species
UACGUAGGGUGCAAGCGUUAAUCGGAAUUACUGGGCGUAAAGCGUGCGCAGGCGGUUUUGUAAGUUUGUCGUGAAAGCCCCGGGCUCAACCUGGGAAUUGCGAUGAAGACUGCAAGGCUUGAAUCUGGCAGAGGGGGGUAGAAUUCCACGUGUAGCAGUGAAAUGCGUAGAGAUGUGGAGGAACACCGAUGGCGUAGGCAGCCCCCUGGGUCAAGAUUGACGCUCAGGCACGAAAGCGUGGGGAGCAAACAGG